CUCGCGUUUGCUGAGUGGGCCAAAAGUUGAAACCAUAUUAUUCAUACAAUCGUCCAACCUCACUUCGUUCUGUUUUUCCUUUGCUUUAAAGUUACUUUAGAAGAGUCUUAUCAUCAAGCACCUGUGGUUCUUGGGUAGUAGCAUAUGGUAAUACCAAGCAGGAUAAUGAUCCGAACUAUUUAUAUGAACUUCCCAAUGACCAAACUGGAUAACAUUUCCUUUCUAUCUUCACAAUAAUGGAUAUUGUAUAAUUGCUCGUU
rnacentral:sRNA from 1 species